rnacentral:lncRNA from 1 species
UUUUAUAUAAAAUAAUAAUAAAAAAUAAUUAUAAAUUUACUAUAUUACCCUAUAAUUAUAGCCUCUAAAUUAAAUCUUGUAUAUUCUUUUUUCAGCUAAUCAAUCAACAUAACCCCGUCCCUUUCUUCCUAAAUCUACAGUCCACCGCCACCUCCUCCUAUUCCGGUGAAGGUUAUCGCCGCUUCAACCACAACCACCACCGGCACCUUUCAUUCUCGGCCUCUAACACUCUCUCUCUCCGCCCCAGAACAUGCACCACCAAAAGAGACAUCGUCCCAUCCUUCUUCCUAAAUCCACUGUCACUGCCAUCGCCCCCUUAAGAUUUCCGGCAAACAGCAGCGAAGGGCUGCUGCCGUCGCCCAAGCCUCCUCGUCUCUCGUUCUUUGACUCAUGUCCCUAUCCCUCUUUGAAACCUUAGAUCCCCAAAUCUGCUAGUGCUCCCUCCCUCGAUUUCCGGCGAGCAGAAAGAGAGAGAAAUGGGUAAAGGGAAGUUCAAGGGUAAGCCGUCAUUUCUCCACCAUUGAAGAGAUGAUUGUUGUUAAAAUCAAAGAACUUGCAAGCAUGUGCUGCGGUGUCGACGAUUGCAGAUGUCGUCCCUUGGCUUCUCCUCGGCCUCCCCUCCGUUGCCAUCCUUCUCUCCUUCCUCGGCAUCGUCAUUUGGAUCGUCGGGAUUUUGUUGAGCUGCUUGUGUCCGUGUUGCUGAGCUCAUUCUCUGAUUUUUUUAGUUUUUGUGGCUUAGACAACUUUCUAGCAUUGUUUAUGCUCUUGUGUGCGUGUUCUAAUUCUUUAUCCGACGAGUUGCACUAUGUGUCUACUUAUAUUUGGAAAUUUGGAAAUGGGCUAUACGUACUGAUGUGUCUUCUUAUAUUUGUUGUUUAAGGGAAAAUACAUAUCACAACAUCGUGUGUCUCUGUGUUUCUUCUUCUUCAUGCGUUUGUGGUUCUUUUCUGAAAGAAUCACAUAAGAUUUUGAGUGGGGGCUAUACUGAUGGAUUAAAUUCAAGAGGG